rnacentral:rRNA from 1 species
CCUACGGGCGGCAGCAGUGAGGAAUAUUGGUCAAUGGGCGUAAGCCUGAACCAGCCAAGUCGCGUGAGGGAUGAAGGUUCUAUGGAUCGUAAACCUCUUUUAUAAGGGAAUAAAGUGCGGGACGCGUCCCGUUUUGUAUGUAACUUAUGAAUAAGGAUCGGCUAACUCCGUGCCCGCAGCCGCGGUAAUACGGAGGAUCCGAGCGUUAUCCGGAUUUAUUGGGUUUAAAGGGUGCGUAGGCGGCCUUUUAAGUCAGCGGUGAAAGUAUGUGGCUCAACCAUAGAAUUGCCGUUGAAACUGGGAGUCUUGAGUAUGUGUGAGGCAGGCGGAAUGCGUGGUGUAGCGGUGAAAUGCUUAGAUAUCACGCAGAACCCCGAUUGCGAAGGCAGCCUGCCAAGCCAUGCCUGACGCUGAUGCACGAAAGCGUGGGGAUCGAACAGGAUUAGAUACCCCAGUAGUC